rnacentral:rRNA from 1 species
ACCCGACUGCUAUCGGAUUGGGAUUUAGCCAUGUUAGUUGUGCGUUCCUUGGCUACAGGGGACGCAGCAUACGGCUCAGUAACACGUAGCCAACCUGCCCUGGAGACGCGGACAAACCCGGGAAACUGGGGCCUAUCCGCGAUAGAUGACCUCAUCUGGAAGGAGAGGCCGUCCAAAAGGGCGCACGGGUAUGCUCUGUGCGAACCGCUCCAGGAUGGGACUGCGGCCGAUCAGGCUGUUGGCGGGGUAAUGGCCCACCAAACCUGUAACCGGUACGGGCUUUGAGAGAAGGAGCCCGGAGAUGGACACUGAGACAAGGGUCCAGGCCCUACGGGGCGCAUCAGGCGCGAAAACUUCGCAAUGCGCGAAAGCGUGACGAGGCUAGUCCGAGUGCUUCCUGCUAAAGGGAGCUUUUCUCGGCUGUAAAUAGGCCGGGGAAUAAGGGGAGGGCAAGUCUGGUGUCAGCCGCCGCGGUAAUACCAGCUCCUCGAGUGGUCGGGACGAUUAUUGGGCCUAAAGCACCCGUAGCCGGUUUCGUAAGUCCUCUGUUAAAUCCAGUCGCUCAACGGCUGGCCUGCAGAGGAUACUGCGAGACUAGGAGGCGGGAGAGGCGGACGGUACUCCGCGUGUAGGGGUAAAAUCCUUUGAUCCGCGGAAGACCACCAGUGGCGAAAGCGGUCCGCCAGAACGCGCUCGACGGUGAGGGGUGAAAGCUGGGGGAGCGAACCGGAUUAGAUACCCGGGUAGUCCCAGCCGUAAACGAUGCGAGCUAGAUGAUUCGAUCGCAGUUCGCGAUCGAAGUGUCGCAGGAAGCCGUUAAGCUCGCCGCCUGGGGAGUACGGUCGCAAGGCUGAA